rnacentral:rRNA from 1 species
GUCUGGGAAACUGCCUGAUGGAGGGGGAUAACUACUGGAAACGGUAGCUAAUACCGCAUAACGUCGCAAGACCAAAGAGGGGGACCUUCGGGCCUCUUGCCAUCGGAUGUGCCCAGAUGGGAUUAGCUAGUAGGUGGGGUAACGGCUCACCUAGGCGACGAUCCCUAGCUGGUCUGAGAGGAUGACCAGCCACACUGGAACUGAGACACGGUCCAGACUCCUACGGGAGGCAGCAGUGGGGAAUAUUGCACAAUGGGCGCAAGCCUGAUGCAGCCAUGCCGCGUGUAUGAAGAAGGCCUUCGGGUUGUAAAGUACUUUCAGCGGGGAGGAAGGGAGUAAAGUUAAUACCUUUGCUCAUUGACGUUACCCGCAGAAGAAGCACCGGCUAACUCCGUGCCAGCAGCCGCGGUAAUACGGAGGGUGCAAGCGUUAAUCGGAAUUACUGGGCGUAAAGCGCACGCAGGCGGUUUGUUAAGUCAGAUGUGAAAUCCCCGGGCUCAACCUGGGAACUGCAUCUGAUACUGGCAAGCUUGAGUCUCGUAGAGGGGGGUAGANUUCCAGGUGUAGCGGUGAAAUGCGUAGAGAUCUGGAGGAAUACCGGUGGCGAAGGCGGCCCCCUGG